rnacentral:SRP_RNA from 1 species
GUAAUGGCUCUAUACGGUGCGGAAAAAGCCUAAUCCCCCAGGGCAGAAAUGCAGCAAGGGUAAGCUUUUCUUCUGCAGGUGUAUAGAGCUUUUAAUUU